AGUCCGGAAGUCCGAAGUCCGGAAGUGGCUGAAGGGAGUGGUCUCAGUGGGAGGAGCUGAAUGAGCCCGGAGCGAGGAGCGCGUGCAGAGAGCGUGGUGGCGUCCACGGUUCUGAGCGUGAGGAGCCGCGCGUGAUGGCAAGACCCGAUGUAUGUGCGCCAAAGGAGGUGACUUGGAGGAGAGCAAACCAAUGGAGAUGAGCAUCUCUAGGUCAAAUUUGCCAUGGAUUGGAUGUCAUCUGCUCAUCAGGCUUUGGAAGAUGAAUUAUGUUAAUGGAUUUUUUAAAAAUAUGAACUUCUUUUGAAGUAUUAAACAUACAGAAAAAUGCACAGAUGGUAAGUAUAAUUGGGUGACUUGUCAUUAAAAAACAUAGCUGUUUAACUAGAAUCCAUGAGAUGAAAUAUUAACAGAACCACAGAAGUUCCCUCAUGAUCCUUUGGAUUUUCUUUUAAUAUCACAAAUAUCAAGACCUUACUCUCUUCUCUUUCCCUGAAAUGGAUCGGUGUAAAUAACCAAGAAGAUAUUGUUGAUGUGGUGAAAACCAGCCCUUUUGUGCUCAGGGCAUUUUCAUCAAUGACCAUGAACCUGGAUUAUGGACCCUCACAAAUAUGAAGAAACUCUCAAGGAAUCACGCCAGGAAAGGAGGCUUGGCCACAAAGAACAUCUCGACUAUUCAAAAGAUAAAAAUCUGAACCAGCCAAAAGAAGAUAUGUAUUGGGCAGAAUCUGGGACUGAGAAGACUCCAAGCUUGAAGCUUGCAUGUCCUCAAGGAAGUGUUACUCUCCUGGUGGCUGUACACACAUGGAGUGUGGUCAGGGCUAGCAUUCAGCAUGGAAAGAUCAUGAGCAGGAUGGAGCCCACAAACACCAACUGGAACCCCUUGAGGAGAGACUGAAAUCUGUGCCCAUUCUUGUUAAUUCUGACAUUGGUGACAAAGGUAUCUUUCAGAAGCCAGGCCUUGUGUCAUGGAACUAAACAUGCAAGCCUGGCUUGGGUGCCAGAGAAGUGGAAGGAUGAUCCAGAGGAAGGUAAAACAAUUUCAAGUCUAGCUGCAAUUCCUUCCUGCCCGUGGGACACAUUAGGAGAUCAGUAACAACGUGUGAGAGAAGUCUAACUGGAAACAUAAAAGAAAGGGAACUCUGGGAAACGUAGCUCAGCCUAGCCAAGUUGGCACAUUACGAAGUCAUCAUACUCAGAAAGAAGGAAAAUAUAUUGGAUCUGAGAAUUUAUACUUACCAAAUUUGAAAAAUGGUUGCCAUUAUUUCUUCAAAUAUGUUUCUGCUCCCUAUUCUUUUAGGAUUCCAAUUACACAUAUGUAAUCAUGUCUCACAGAUAAUUAAGACUCUUUCAUUAUUUAUCUAGCCAUUUUCUCUCCAUGUUUCAUAUUAGAUUCUGUUUGCUAUGUUUUCAAGUUCACUGUUCUUUUCUUCUGCAGAGUCCAGCCAGCUGUUAAAUCUAUCUGGUAAAUUUUCAUUUCAGGUUUUGAAUUUUAUAACACUAAAAGUUACUUUUAUAUGAUUUAAUUUCUCUCAUUAUGUUCAUGUAUUCCUUUAAUUCCUUAGUAAAUUUUUAAUAAUGAGUUCAUAGUCCUUUCAGCUAACUUUAUUAUCACUAUCAUUCUGAGUCUAUUUUAUUUUUUAUUAGUUUUAUUUUAAGUAGACUCCAUGCCCACUGUAGGGUUUGAACUCACGACCCCAAGAUCAAGAGUUAUGUGCUCUACCAUCUAACCCAGCCAGGUGCCAGUGAUCUAAUUUUAUUAACAGAUUUCUUCUCCUUAUAUUAGUUAUAGUAUUCUGCUUUUUUUGCCUAUCUAGUAAUUUUUAUUGGAUGCUGGACAUUGUGAAUAUUACAUUGUUGGGUGUCUUCUUUUAUUCUUUUAUUUUUAAAGGUUUAUUUCUUUAUUUGAGAGAGAGUGCAAGCAUGAGUGGGGAGAGGGGCAGAAGGAGAGGGAAUGGGAAAGAGGCAAACUCCUUGAUGAGCAUGGAGCCAUCUCAGGACUCCAUCUCAUGACCUUGAGAUCAUGACCUGAGCCAAAACAAAAAGUUGGCAUCCUACUCCACUGAACUACGCAGGCAUCCCUAUGAAAACUUCUUUCAAAGAGUGCUGAAGUUUGUUAUGACUGGAAGGCAAGUUAUUUGUGGAUCAGUUUGAUUCUUUUGGUGCUUCUUUAUAAACUUUGUUAAGGUGGGCGUAUAGUAGCCUCAGCUUUGGACUACUCUAGCGCUAAGUUGUUAAACUUCUGGGGUCUCCACUGGAUGCUCUAUGUUAUCAGUAUGGUUUCUCCUUUUUCACUAGUUGGAAAAUCAAACAUCUCCCAGCCCCAUGUGAGCUCUGGGAAUUUUUCAGCUUACAGCUCUUUUGCAAGACCUCAUGGAGUUCUGCAUUGCACAUGUGCCAUGUAGUAUCCUGCCAAAAACUAAGCAGUCUUAUGAAGAUUUGCACAUUUCUUGAACUCUUGUUCUGCACAGUUUCCAUUUCCCCCAGCAUUCUGCCCUGCAAAUUCCAUUCACCUAAGUGCCCCCAAACUCCAAUCCCACUCUCUUCAGUUCAGGGACAACACAGUGGUCUGCCUAGCUCCCCCUUAUUGUGCUACAGUCUGGAAAAUGCCUUUAGGCAGAAGCCAGUAGUGAUCAUCAGUUUCACCUUAUUUGUUUCAUUUCUUUCAAGUAUCGCAGUCCUGACUGUUUGACAGUGUCUAAAAACUGUUGUUUCAGACAUUUUGUCCAAUUUUCUAGUUGUUUAUGAUUAGUUCAGUGUCAGUAUUCUGUCAUGGUUGAAGAAAGAAAUCUACAUUUUCUCUUGGCUAGUAUCAUUGAGCCAAUGAAUCACAUGAAAAAGACUCUACCUCUGGACUUUUUAGAGGCAUGAGCCAAUGUUCUCAUUUUAUUGUAAGACAGUGUGAGUUGGGUUUUUCUGCUUACCUACAAUCAAAAGUUAUAUAGUAAGUGGAAUACUAUAUAAAGACUUGGAGUCUCAGUAAAAAAUUAAAAUAUAUAUUUAAUAUUCUAUUAUUUCUCUUACAUUUUUUCUCCCAAAUUGGUCUUUAGCAAUGCAAGCAUUGUUCUUAUUUGGUUAAAUUGCCCUCUAUACAUUAUAUAUGCCUUUUAUACAAUAAUUUACUGAGAUAUAUCUGUAUAAAUUCACCAACUAUAAUUCAGAUGCUAUACUAGACACUAAGAGUUUAAAGGUAAAGUUCCUGCUCUCAAGAAGCUAACAGUCUACUAAGGAAAAUUUACACAUAAGCAUAUAAGGAUAACGUAGUUCUUUGGGCGUUGAAUUACGUCUCCCAAAAAGAUAUGUAGAAUCCUAACCUCUGAUACUUAUCAUGCCAUUUUCUUUGGGAAUAGGGUCUUUGCAGAGAUAGUCAAGAUAAAAUAAGUCCAUACUAGAUUAAAGUCCAAUAACUAGUAUCCUAAUAAAAAAGGAGGAAAUUUGGACAGAAACACAGAGAGAAGGCCACAUGAAGGCAAAAGCACAGA